ensembl:lncRNA
UGAGGCUUGUUUUCCAUGGGCUCAGGAGUUAGUAAUUUAGGAGGUUCCUAUUCAGAAACUCAAACUGGGAGUGGACUGAUGAGGAGAACUGGAAAUGCUGCUCUAGGCCAGCUAAAGGUAUUCAUCUAAAAUGUCUAGGAGAGGAGUGGAUGAGGGUACACGUAAACAGGGGUACUGAGAGUCCUGAGGCAUGCAGUACUACCUCAUCAGCAGUGCUAAUCACUGCCUUUACUGCUCUGCCUUCAAAUCCCCUCACAGCAUCCAAUGCCACCUCUACAAAGCUGUGUUGUAAACAUGUUCCUCCAAAACUCUGGUAUCUGCCAAGAUCGCACAAGAAUAGUCACACUAAUGGUUCAUUAUAAAGCUCUAAUAUGUAUUUGAUGACAACACUUUUUCUGCAAUGUCCAUUGGUGUUUUAAUAGCCUUAAUAAUAGCACAUAGUAAUGGCAUUACUACUUGCCUGUGUAACACCCACCUUCACUAUGUUAUGCCAGCAAUAACUAAUGAACGCACAUUUUAGGAAAUUCAUCCACCUAGGUAUGGCUUCUCAGAGUAGGGUUUUAACCCCAGGGAAAAGAGAUGUGAGUUCAGGGUAGGUAAGAGAGAGAUUUGAUGUUCUUUUGGAGUCAUAUAUCAGCUUCCAGAUUGUGCUGAUGCAGAAAGCAGCUUAAAAAAAAUAUAGUUCCACCUGGGCUAUUCCUGUGCCUGCUGCUCCAGACUCAGCCAAGAACAGAAGACUUGCUGCACAAGCCAAGCUGCCAAGAGGCUCUAAGAGAAGAGCAUGUGGUGCAUGGAUCUUUAUCCCCAGGUUGACCAGUGAUUAAGGAUCAGCAACAACACUGUGCCACAAGCACUGAAGAUGAAAGACCGUUGAUAUGCAAGUGAAUCCCUAGAUGCCACUACAGUUUUAAGGGAGACUGGGGACCACGUCACAUCAGGAAUCAAAGUAGAAAAGCUUCACAGGAAUUGGCUGCUGAAGGGGGAAAAAAAAUGGCAGAAACUGGGCAUAAAUGAGUUAAACAGCCACCUGUGGCAGUUCUUGACACCCUUGCAAAGCUAAGUUCUUGACAUCUUGCAAAGCUAAGGAUGGGUGAACUGUAUAAAACCACCAAAGCAAGUAUCUUGAUCCUUCAAGUCUAGCUAGGAGCCAGAUGAGCAAGUAAAUCUAGCUUUGCAGCACACCUCAUCCUGAGCAAUCCACAUCCGUCAGAGUUAGGUCAAGAAGGUAGAUAGGUAUUAGAAAGGAAUCUCCCAAACUCAAAAGAAUUGCCCAAAGAAAAGACAACAUAGACAGCCAGAGGUACACAAUAGUAUUUUCCAUCAUCACUCUGUUUUGUCCAGAUGUGUAUUACAUUGUUUCCAUAGUCUGCCACUUGAUUCAGCUUUUGUACUCAGUAAAUCAAUAAUACAACCUGUGGAUGACCACAGAAUGUAUAUUAAUGGCAGGUUUUGCUUUUCUUCCCCAGCCCUAUUCAGAUAUACAAUGCCCUACCUUUGUUUUGAGAUCCUUUCCCAUUUCUCCCAUCCCCAACAGAUAACAAGGACAUUGCGUCACAACACACAAAGAGGCCCAAAGGCACGCCUUCAGCAAAGGAAAGGCACCUGCAUUCCAACUGAAGUGUAGCAAGUGAUGGCAAUGUUAGAGGAGUAGUGAGACCUAAUAGAGGGAGUAAAUUCUCUUUCCAAGUUUAGCUGCUACGUACUUCGGCUGAAAAGCUGAAAUGGCCUUUAAAAAGUGAUUACGGCUCAUUUACUAAACUCUAAAAUACACAAUUUGAGACCUGUGGAUAUAGCAGGAGAAUGAAGCCAGG